UCUCUAUUCAUACUCUACCUUCCCUUCUACUUUCUUCAAAGUACUCUUCUGCAUUUCUCUUAAGAGAUCUAUAUAUAUCAAUUAUGAAAUCACAAAUGCUUGAUCCUUUCGGUUAUAAUUUUUUUAACUCUCUUUCAACUUAUAUCUGAUAUCAAAUAUUAAUCUUUAAUUUGCCCAAAGUCCAUUCUAAAGUUCCAUAUCUACAUCUUCCACCAGAGUUUCCUUAUGAGAACGCAUUAUAAGGUGUUAAAAGAAACCCUUGAGAAAAAAGUAUCCUCUUUGACUUUGAUAUAGACCACAUUAAGAUGUCAAUCAAAAGUGUUUCUACUACCACCCCUCAAAAUAAAACUUCAUUUAAAGAGGUUCAGAGAAAUUGAAGGCUAUGUCAAGGUAUGUCAGAGAAUCCAAUUGUCUGUCAUUGACAGAUGUUUGAUCGUGACUAUUCAGGAGAUUGAUCACAGCAUGAAAAUUGCAUCUUCUAUUGUAGAAUAAAUAGUAUAUGUAACAAUGUAAAUAGGUAAUAAUUAUGCUAUGUGAAUGUCAUGGGAGUAUCCAAUAGUAUGAUAUUUCCAUGAUUGUAUAAGACAUACAUUUGAGAUUUAUGCUAUAUGCACAACGGUAAUAAUGUUGUACAUUAAAAUGUAUUUAUUUUAGAUAAUGUGCAAAUUUAGUUUAUAUUGACGUUUAUAUGCAAA